GCUACGGUCGUACGAGCAGCCGGAGUGAGACAUAGGUUUCGAGAUGUUGUCGGAUUCAGUGGGUGUAAAGCGAGUGUAGGCGGGCUGGUAAGUACCGUGUGAAAUCCCACGGCGCAACCGUGGCAUGGCGUGGGCUACUGCUGGGCUUGGGCGAAAUAGGGGUUAGCGGAACGAACGGUGGAGCGGUGAAAUGCGUAGAUAUCGGUGGGAACGCCAAUGGUGAAGACAGGUAACUGGGGAUGUGCUGACGCUGAGACACGAAAGCCAGGGGAGCGAACGGGAUUAGAUACCCUAGUAGUC
rnacentral:rRNA from 1 species